rnacentral:rRNA from 1 species
AGAGUUUGAUCCUGGCUCAGGAUGAACGCUAGCUACAGGCUUAACACAUGCAAGUCGAGGGGCAGCAUGGUCUUAGCUUGCUAAGGCCGAUGGCGACCGGCGCACGGGUGAGUAACGCGUAUCCAACCUGCCUUACACUCUUGGACAGCCUUCUGAAAGGGAGAUUAAUACAAGAUGUUAUCAUGAGUAAGCAUUUUCGCAUGAUUAAAGGUUUACCGGUGUAAGAUGGGGAUGCGUUCCAUUAGAUAGUAGGCGGGGUAACGGCCCACCUAGUCUUCGAUGGAUAGGGGUUCUGAGAGGAAGGUCCCCCACAUUGGAACUGAGACACGGUCCAAACUCCUACGGGAGGCAGCAGUGAGGAAUAUUGGUCAAUGGACGAGAGUCUGAACCAGCCAAGUAGCGUGAAGGAUGAAGGUUCUAUGGAUUGUAAACUUCUUUUAUACGGGAAUAAACGGAUCCACGUGUGGAUUUUUGCAUGUACCGUAUGAAUAAGGAUCGGCUAACUCCGUGCCAGCAGCCGCGGUAAUACGGAGGAUCCGAGCGUUAUCCGGAUUUAUUGGGUUUAAAGGGAGCGUAGAUGGGUUGUUAAGUCAGUUGUGAAAGUUUGCGGCUCAACCGUAAAAUUGCAAUUGAUACUGGCAGUCUUGAGUACAGUUGAGGUAGGCGGAAUUCGUGGUGUAGCGGUGAAAUGCUUAGAUAUCACGAAGAACUCCGAUUGCGAAGGCAGCUUACUAACCUGUAACUGACAUUGAUGCUCGAAAGUGUGGGUAUCAAACAGGAUUAGAUACCCUGGUAGUCCACACGGUAAACGAUGAAUACUCGCUGUAGGCGAUAUACAGUCUGCGGCCAAGCGAAAGCAUUAAGUAUUCCACCUGGGGAGUACGCCGGCAACGGUGAAACUCAAAGGAAUUGACGGGGGCCCGCACAAGCGGAGGAACAUGUGGUUUAAUUCGAUGAUACGCGAGGAACCUUACCCGGGCUUAAAUUGCAACCGAAUAUGGCGGAAACGCUAUAGCUAGCAAUAGCGGUUGUGAAGGUGCUGCAUGGUUGUCGUCAGCUCGUGCCGUGAGGUGUCGGCUUAAGUGCCAUAACGAGCGCAACCCUUGCCGAUAGUUACUAACAGGUUAUGCUGAGGACUCUGUCGGGACUGCCAUCGUAAGAUGUGAGGAAGGUGGGGAUGACGUCAAAUCAGCACGGCCCUUACGUCCGGGGCUACACACGUGUUACAAUGGGGGGUACAGAGGGCUGCUACCACGCAAGUGGAUGCCAAUCCCAAAAACCUCUCUCAGUUCGGAUUGAAGUCUGCAACCCGACUUCAUGAAGCUGGAUUCGCUAGUAAUCGCGCAUCAGCCACGGCGCGGUGAAUACGUUCCCGGGCCUUGUACACACCGCCCGUCAAGCCAUGGGAGCCGGGGGUACCUGAAGUGCGUAACCGCAAGGAGCGCCCUAGGGUAAAACUGGUGACUGGGGCUAAGUCGUAACAAGGUAGCCGUACCGGAAGGUGCGGCUG